rnacentral:lncRNA from 10 species
AAGACGGGUUUCACCAUGUUGUUCAGGAUGGUCUCGAACUCCUGACCUCGUGAUCCGCCCGCCUCGGCCUCCCAAAGUGCUGGGAUUACAGGCAUGAGCCACCGCGCCCGGCCUUUCUUUUUCUUUUUUGAGAUAGAAUCUCACUCUGUCACCCAGGCUGGAGUGCACAAUCUCUGCUCACUGCAACUUCCACCUCCUGGGUUUAAGCGAUUCUCCUGCCUCAGCCUCCCGAGUAGCUUGGACUACAGGUGUACAGCACCAUGCCCGGCUAAUUUUUUUUUUUUUUUUGUAUUUUUAGUAGAGAUGAGGUUUCACCAUGUUGGCGAGACUGGUCUUGAACUCCUGACCUCAAAUGAUCCAACCGCCUUGGCCUCCCAAAGUGCUGGGAUUAUAGGCAUGAGCCACUGUGCCCAGCCCCAAAGUAGUGUUUCUAU